GUCAUCUCUCUCCUCUCUCUCUCUCUCUCGAGCAGCAUGGGGGGAAAACAUUUCCCCCAAAUAUUUUCGUCCUCUCUCUCCUCUCUCUCUCUCUACUCGCCGUUGAAGUUACCAGCGAGUCUCCCUCUCUCUCGCCGUUAAGCUAGAUCGGCGCCGGCUUUCGCAGUUGGGGGGAAAACAUUUCCCCCAAAUAUUUUCGUCCUCUCUCUCCUCGCUCUCUCUCUCGCUUGCUCGCCGGCCGUCCCACUCGCCGUUAAGCUAGAUCGGCGCCGGCUUUCGGAGUUCAGGCGCAUCGGCGGCGUGGUUUUCUGUUCGGCGGCCGGACACCUCCACCGGAAUCGUCAAAUAUCCUUAAAGAACCGAUUGGAAUCGUCAAAUAUCCUUAAAGAACCGAUUUUGAUUUGCCUUUGCAAGUUCAUAGCAUCUGCACCCACAUUGUUACCACCAGAGUAUGUCCAAGAAUUUCAGAACUGUUUUGAUAGAGCUCCUGCAGCUCCUUUUGAAGACAUUCAAAGCAUUUUGCAUUUUGAAUAUGUUGACUUGACUCCUAUUGCUUCAGCCUCGAUAGCAUAGGUUCUUGGUGCAAGGCUUAGAGGCUCCCAAGAGGAUAUAUUGGUGGCAGAUCUGAAUUUUGUUUACAUUGUUGCUCGCAUAUUGGAGUUUUUGAAUCCUGAAUUCAGCCAUCCAAGUGAAGAUGAACCAAAGUUAAAACUUAAACAAAGAUCAAGGCAAAGUUGCAAUGUAUUUUGUUGUGUUUCAGCACUGUUUUGUGCUUCUUCUUUUUUUUUUUUUCCCCUUUUUGUUCUUGUAAUUUUUCAUCUGUAAGGAAGGCAGCAAGGAGCCCAAAAUUAAUUGCAAGUAGACAGAUGUGAAUAUGUUUAAGAUGAA